UUGUGUACUUCGUCCACCUCUGCGUUUAACCCCUGCGAGUUCGACACGGAUACGGCGCAAAGCCUGAACUGCCGUGAGAUGAGUUUUUAUCGUCUGUGUAUUUUCUAGCUGUUUCAUCGAGAGGUUGUUUGCGAGGGUAGAAAACAUACUUUAAACAGAUCGUUGUCUUUUCAGAUGUCAGUUCGUUGGUUAACUUAUGUCACUGGCUUGCGACUGACACUGUCCCAUUGAACCCCUUCGAGUUAGACAUGCAUGCUGUGGUUCUAGUGGAGCAGAGAGUGCGACAGGACGACCAAUUUAAUCAAUCUGGUGGCAAGAAGGUAUGCAUUGGAAGUGUAAGUACUGUUCUUUUAACUGUGAAAAAUGAUCACAGCUAUUUAAACAUUAUAGACUGAAACAUGGUAGGUAUGCUAGAAAUGAGCCAUUUCCAUGUUUGCAUCAGGAAUGUCUAUGCACUUUUAAAUCAUUUAACUUAUCUAACUUUCACACCAAACUGUCUGGUCAGCAGCCAAGUGACGCACGCACCAGUUACGUUUUGCUGUCUGUCUUGUGGGUUUGCAGAGUAUUGUUCUGAGGCUGAUUACUUAAUUCACUUGUCAAGAAACACAUGAACAUUACAUCUGCUCUUCGCAGAAAAGAAGUUGUAAACGACAAGUCUCGCAUCAGCCAGAUGAUUCUUCAAUGGCCAGCUCUGUUUACAGAAAGUCAGGUUUGUAACGAGUUCAGCAGAGUUGUGGGGAAAAAUCUCAGAGAGAGCUUCUUUGAUGCUCUUGACCGUUUCUGAGCCAACAGAUGUUAGGUCCCCUUGCCUUCGUGGACUGCCAGUCGUUUUAGGGGAUGACCCUGCUGCCUUUAAGACCUGCUCUGAUGUUAAUGAUGAGGACUCGUACCACCAAAUUCCAGUGUGAAUCCUCUGCAUUGAUGCAGAAAGUCCACAGCUAAACCCUUCCAGAGCGUGUAUCAUCUUGGAGGAGAAUUCAGCGAUGGAACCGGACAACUUGCCUCAUAUCUUCUGUUUGGACUCAUUUAUGCCCUGCACUUGGACUAUGCAUUCUUGUCCUCUUAAACUGGAGUGCAAACUUGUUUUAAAUUUUCAAUAAAACUCGUCUGCCUGUUCCUGUCAUCAUCAGAUACUCUUCUCAAUGUUCUUCAUCAUCAGAAAGAUCUUCAGUGUCAAUAUGUGUGUUGUUGUGUUCAGUGAUGAAUGUGACACGUGUGAGUCUCUCCUGGUACAAAGGAAAGAGUUUAUUGUCCAGCAUCAGUGUGUCUGAUCUCAACAUCAGACUCUCUCUACCUCUGGAGGUGGAAUAUCAGGACACAAACACAUACAGAUGUGUCAUCAACAAUCACUUCACAAACCACACACAACAUCUACACAUCAAUGAUGUCUGUCAGCCGUGUUCAGAUUUUAUCCAGCGUUCACAUUUAAUACUGCUGAUAGCUGCUGUUGUGCUGCUGGUCAUAGUUUCAUCUGUUUGUUUGAUUUACUGCCACUACAACAACUGUAAACAACCAGCAAUGAACUUCACACUCAGGAGAAGAUAUACACCAGACCAACACCACUGUAUGAGCACAACGCCUUCAGGAGUCACAUGACCACAGAUGUUAAAGAAGAUCACACAUCAUGCUCAACUGUAAAUAAUAUGAAUACAAAAAUAACUAAUAAAGUUUGUUUUAAAC